GUCCAGGGUAGCCUAGUGGACAUGGCAUCUGCCCGGUAAGUGGAACAUUGUGGGUUAGAUUCCCAUCCCGGACA
rnacentral:tRNA from 1 species